UACGGGGGAUGCAAGUGUUAUCCGGAAUUACUGGGCGUAAAGGGCGCGUAGGCGGCCCGUUAAGUCCCGUGUGAAAGCCCCCGGCUCAACCGGGGAACGGCGCGGGAAACUGGCAGGCUUGAGUUCGGGAGAGGGAAGCGGAAUUUCGGGUGUAGCGGUGAAAUGCGCAGAUAUCCGAAGGAACACCGGUGGCGAAGGCGGCUUCCUGGACCGACACUGACGCUGAGGCGCGAAAGCUAGGGGAGCAAACGGG
rnacentral:rRNA from 1 species